GUAUACUACUGAUUACUGAUUCAAGUCGAGCGGAGUAAUGGUGCUUGCUCUAUCACUUAGCGGCGGACGGGUGAGUAAUGCUUAGGAAUCUGCCUAUUAGUGGGGGACAACAUCUCGAAAGGGAUGCUAAUACCGCAUACGUCCUACGGGAGAAAGCAGGGGAUCACUUGUGACCUUGCGCUAAUAGAUGAGCCUAAGUCGGAUUAGCUAGUUGGUGGGGUAAAGGCCUACCAGGGCGACGAUCUGUAGCGGGUCUGAGAGGAUGAUCCGCCACACUGGGACUGACACACGGCCCACACUCCUACGGGAGGCAGCAGUGGGGAAUAUUGGACAAUGGGGGGAACCCUGAUCCAGCCAUGCCGCGUGUGUGAAGAAGGCCUUAUGGUUGUAAAGCACUUUAAGCGAGGAGGAGGCUCUUUUGGUUAAUACCCAGGAUGAGUGGACGUUACUCGCAAAAUAAGCACCGGCUAACUCUGUGCCAGCAGCCGCGGUAAUACAGAGGGUGCAAGCGUUAAUCGGAUUUACUGGGCGUAAAGCGCGCGUAGGCGGCCAAUUAAGUCAAAUGUGAAAUCCCCGAGCUUAACUUGGGAAUUGCAUUCGAUACUGGUUGGCUAGAGUGUGGGAGAGGAUGGUAGAAUUCCGGGUGUAGCGGUGAAAUGCGUAGAGAUCUGGAGGAAUACCGAUGGCGAAGGCAGCCAUCUGGCCUAACACUGACGCUGAGGUGCAAAAGCAUGGGGAGCAAACAGGAUUAGAUACCCUG
rnacentral:rRNA from 1 species